rnacentral:tRNA from 1 species
UCCUCGUUAGUAUAGUGGUAAGAAUCCCCGCUUGUCACGCGCGAGACCGGGGUUCGAUUCCCCGACGGGGGG